rnacentral:hammerhead_ribozyme from 1 species
AUUCAGCUGAUGAGUCCAAAAUGGGACGAAACGCUAGUCCUGGAU